rnacentral:rRNA from 1 species
GGCAACAUCGGUCCAAUCCUUAAAGUCAUCCUCAGUUCGGACUGGGGUCUGCAACCCGACCCCACGAAGCUGGAUUCGCUAGUAAUCGCGCAUCAGCCAUGGCGCGGUGAAUACGUUCCCGGGCCUUGUACACACCGCCCGUCAAGCCAUGAAAGCCGGGGGCGCCUGAAGUCCGUGACCGCGAGGGUCGGCCUAGGGUGAAACCGGUGAUUGGGGCUAAGUCGUAACAAGGUAGC